rnacentral:rRNA from 1 species
UACGGGGGGGGCAAGCGUUGUUCGGAAUUACUGGGCGUAAAGGGCUCGUAGGUGGCCAACUAAGUCAGACGUGAAAUCCCUCGGCUUAACCGGGGAACUGCGUCUGAUACUGGAUGGCUUGAAUCCGGGAGAGGGAUGCGGAAUUCCAGGUGUAGCGGAUGAAAUGCGUAGAUAUCUGGAGGAACACCGGUGGCGAAGGCGGCAUCCUGGACCGGCAUUGACGCUGAGGAGCGAAAGCCAGGGGAGCAAACGGG